AUUGCUCUCACUGAGAACUGCCUCAGAGAAAUGUACCACGUGGAAGAGGAAACAAACAGAGGGACAAAAGGAUGGAUAAGCAAGUACAGCAAAAUGUCAAUGGUGAAAUCUAAGCGGUGGGAACAGUUCCUGGGCUGGCUGUGCGAGAGAUUCAUGAUCUGGUCACAAGAGCAAAAGCACCUGUGUUGUGGAUAGCUCAGAAUGACACAAGACUGGCAACAAACACCGGUGUUUGAAAACACUUGGUGGGAAUGGAAGCUUCAAAGCAUUUUAUCAUCUCAGGCCAUCGCUGAGAGGGCCCAGCUGAAGCCACCCCAUGCACGUCCUUUGACAAGCGCUGGGCUUUCAAUGGCGCUCUGCAAACCAGCUGCACUGUAGCUGGCUUUUCAGUGUUUCAGCUGGUCGGCUCACGGCAGUACGAAUUGGCAGCGUGGCAAGCAAGAAGGCUGAAAUUCAACACCCAGAUUGAGAGCUCUUGAGACUCAAAUGUCAUGGACACCGGGGUGUGGCUUCUCCACUAAUUAUGUUCUGUCAAACAAGGGUUGAAAAUGUCAGCCCAGACUUAAUGCUUGGCUCCACCCGCAGCCAAUAGCUGCGGACCUGGGCUCUGGUUUAAAUGAUGAAGGAGUUUGAAAAACCACUCAGUUGAUUUCGAGACUUCCUGGGGACAACAUUGAAACCACAAUGUUCUCUUUUUGAGGCGGAGUGGAGAGCCAAUCACAAUCGAGUUUUCUCAGCAUGUUCUGCCCAUAUUUGGCUGUGCUCUUGCUUCAUUCAACUAAAUUUAUAAUAUGUGCACUUGAAAAGCAAGGCUUUGGAAAGGGUUUCUCUCCCCCGUUAUAAAAGAAGUCUUAUCUUUAUGCAUAGGGGCCUGCCCGUGAGCUUAUAGAACAGCUUCAAAGCAAAGAAAGGAGCUGGUAUAGAAAAUUUAUUUUUUACACACACACAAAAUGAGCUUGAACUGUACCUUCUGGCUUUAUACUGUUUGCAUGAAAAUACAUAGAAAACAAUCCACUAGUGCCGUGCUGUGCAAGAAGAACCAGAAGUGGUUUACGAGAUGAUGGGGGUAGCGAAGAAAGAAUGAUACAUGUAUUGUUGUAUCGUAUUUUCUGCGUGCUGUGGAGGAGAUCCAACGUGCAGAUUCCCGGAAAUAAAUGUACCCAUUGAAGUUUCGUAAGGAUUGCUUGAAAA